AAGCACAAUAAAGUUUAGGCUAAUUUUGCAAAGGACCAACGGUUUUUCGAAUGAGUUUCAUAGUCUGUAAUUUUUGUGAUUUUAUCCAGGAAAUAUAGGAGCUGUGGUGAUGAAAUUUUUCAACACAAAAGAAAAAUACAUAGAAGCAGUAUGGUAAUCAAAUACUGGCUGAAGUCUCCAAAAACUCGGUUUACCAGUGAAGAGAAAUCUAAGUACCCCAGAGCGGAGCUCGGUGCCCCGAUAUUUAUCAAAAAUUGGAACAGGUUGUCACUGAU